rnacentral:rRNA from 1 species
AUUGAACGCUGGCGGCAGGCCUAACACCUGCAAGUCGAGCGGUAGCACAGGAGAGCUUGCUCUCCGGGUGACGAGCGGCGGACGGGUGAGUAAUGUCUGGGAAACUGCCUGAUGGAGGGGGAUAACUACUGGAAACGGUAGCUAAUACCGCAUAACGUCUUCGGACCAAAGUGGGGGACCUUCGGGCCUCACGCCAUCAGAUGUGCCCAGAUGGGAUUAGCUAGUAGGUGGGGUAAUGGCUCACCUAGGCGACGAUCCCUAGCUGGUCUGAGAGGAUGACCAGCCACACUGGAACUGAGACACGGUCCAGACUCCUACGGGAGGCAGCAGUGGGGAAUAUUGCACAAUGGGCGCAAGCCUGAUGCAGCCAUGCCGCGUGUGUGAAGAAGGCCUUCGGGUUGUAAAGCACUUUCAGCGAGGAGGAAGGGUGGUGUGUUAAUACGCGCAUCACAUUGACGUUACUCGCGGAAGAAGCACCGGCUAACUCCGUGCCAGCAGCCGCGGUAAUACGGAGGGUGCAAGCGUUAAUCGGAAUUACUGGGCGUAAAGCGCACGCAGGCGGUUUGUUAAGUCAGAUGUGAAAUCCCCGCGCUUAACGUGGGAACUGCAUUUGAAACUGGCAAGCUAGAGUCUUGUAGAGGGGGGUAGAAUUUC